rnacentral:tRNA from 1 species
UCCUUGGUGGCUCAGAUGGUAAAGUGUCUGCCUGCAAUGCGGGAGACCCGGGUUUGAUCCCUGGGUAGGGAA